AUGGAUCCUUCUGUUGUGUCUCGAUUGGAGAAUGUUGCGAAUCGAACGGAGAAUAUAUUGCUGAAAUAUGACUCGAACAAAAAAGAAACUCCGGUCGACGCGACGCCUCAAAUCAUUAAUCUUUAUGACGAUGCGAUCUGUGAGAAUCUCGUCUCGUUUUAUGAUUUAUCUGCAAAAAUUGGAGGAGAUUUGAAUCGCCUUGGAUGCAUGACUAGGAGUCUAUUUUUCACGCAUCGAUAUUUUUUGUGGAUUGCGUGUGGGCGCAAAAAGGCGGACAACGACGAGUUCGCGACUCUUGUGAACGAUUUGUCGAAGGAAAUUGUUGCAUUUUCCGAUUUCAAGGAGAAAAAUCGAAAAUCCGAAUUCUAUAAUCAUAUCUGCGGACUUGAAGCUGCGGUUGGAGGUUUCGGUUGGGUUGCUGAACCAAAAACUCCUGCUCCAUUCAUCAAAGAUGCUAUCGAUACAUCAGUCUUCUACCUAAAUCGUAUUCUUAUGGAGCACAAAGGAAAAAAUGAUUUCCAUUCGGAAUGGGCUAAAUCUAUCAAAGAACUCAUGCUGAGUCUUCAUGAAUAUGUGCGACAACAUCACACGACUGGUCUUGUCUGGAAUUCGGAUCCCGGUGCGACUCCGAUGUGUAACAGGAAAAGUGGAGGAGCUCCAACGCCGCCGCCACCACCACCUCCACCAAUUUCAUUGAUUGCGCCUUCCAAGCCUUCUGGUGUCGGUGCUCUACUGGAAUCUCUCAAUACGGGAUUAUCGGCUACUAGUCGUUUGAAGAAAGUCACCCCUGAAAUGCAAACUCACAAAAAUCCGGUACUUCGUGAGGUAAAUGGACAGAUGAAUCGAAAAACUGAAGAAAGAAAGGGAUGGAAAGAUUUGGAAAGUUGAUCAUCAAGUUGGUAAUAAGAAUGCCGUCGUUGAAGUUACGGAUAAGAAGGAAUCGAUUUAUAUUUACAAGUGUAACGAUUCUAUUAUCAAGAUCAAAGGAAAGGCCAACGCAAUUACAUUGGACGGAUGCCGUAAAACUUCAGUCGUAUUUGAUGGUCUUGUUGCUCAAUGUGAAAUCAUCAAUUGCCAAUCAAUUCAAAUUCAAACUCUCGGAGAACUUCCAACUGUUUCGAUUCAAAAAACCGAUGGAUGUCAUAUCUAUCUGUCACGUGAUGCUUUGAAUGCUCAAAUUGUUGCAUCCAAAUCCAGUGAGAUGAACAUCUCCGCGAUGUUGGAAGAUGGAGACGAUGAGUACACGGAAAUGGCAUUGCCAGAGCAGUUUAUGACGAAGAUUGUUGGAAAGAAGCUUGUCACUGUCGCAUCUGAAAUUGUAUAA
rnacentral:misc_RNA from 1 species